GAUGAAGAAUGCAGCGAAAUGCGAUAAGUAAUGUGAAUUGCAGAAUUCAGUGAAUCAUCGAAUCUUUGAACGCACCUUGCGCUCCUUGGUAUUCCGAGGAGCAUGCCUGUUUGAGUGUCAUUAAUAUAUCAACCUUCUCUUUUUUGAGUUGUUUGGAUGUGGGGGUUUGCUGGCCUCUUAAAUGAUUCAGCUCCCCUGAAAUGCAUUAGCAGAACAACCUGUUCAUUAGCGUGAUAAUUAUCUAUGCUAUUGAAUGUGAGGGCAGUUCAGCUUUCUAACCGUCCUUGGACAAUUCAUCAUUAAUGUGACCUCAAAUCAGGUAGGACUACCCGCUGAACUUAAGCAUAUCAAUAAGCGGAGGA
rnacentral:misc_RNA from 1 species